ensembl:rRNA 5S_rRNA 5S ribosomal RNA
GCUGGUACCUAGCUCUCUGCAGCUCACCCAUGGUCACCCACUUAAGCUAAGCAGGGCUGUGCCUGGUUAGUUUGUGGAUGGGAGACCACAUGGAAAAGCUAGGUAGCUGCCGGAA